CUGAGUACGGCGGAACACGUGAAAUUCCGUCGGAAUCCGGGAGGACCAUCUCCCAAGGCUAAAUACUCCCUAGUGACCGAUAGUGAACCAGUACCGUGAGGGAAAGGUGAAAAGCACCCCGGAAGGGGAGUGAAACAGUUCCUGAAACCGUGUGCCUACAAGUAGUUAGAGCCCGUUAAUGGGUGAUAGCGUGCCUUUUGUAGAAUGAACCGGCGAGUUACGAUUUGUUGCAAGGUUAAGCGGAAAAAGCGGAGCCGUAGCGAAAGCGAGUCUGAAUAGGGCGCAUAAGUAACAGGUCGUAGACCCGAAACCAGGUGAUCUACCCAUGUCCAGGAUGAAGGUAAGGUAAUACUUACUGGAGGUCCGAACCCACGCACGUUGAAAAGUGCGGGGAUGAGGUGUGGGUAGCGGAGAAAUUCCAAUCGAACUUGGAGAUAGCUGGUUCUCUCCGAAAUAGCUUUAGGGCUAGCCUCGAGGUAAAGAGUCAUGGAGGUAGAGCACUGUUUGGACUAGGGGCCCUUCUCGGGUUACCGAAUUCAGAUAAACUCCGAAUGCCAUGUACUUAUACUCGGGAGUCAGACUGCGAGUGAUAAGAUCCGUAGUCGAAAGGGAAACAGCCCAGACCACCAGUUAAGGUCCCCAAAUAUAUGUUAAGUGGAAAAGGAUGUGGGGUUGCUUAGACAACCAGGAUGUUGGCUUAGAAGCAGCCACCAUUGAAAGAGUGCGUAAUAGCUCACUGGUCGAGUGACCCCGCGCCGAAAAUGUACCGGGGCUAAACAUAUUACCGAAACUGUGGAUGAACCUCUUUAGAGGUUCGUGGUAGGAGAGCGUUCUAAGGGCGGUGAAGUCAGACCGGAAGGACUGGUGGAGCGCUUAGAAGUGAGAAUGCCGGUAUGAGUAGCGAAAGAAGGGUGAGAAUCCCUUCCACCGAAUAUCUAAGGUUUCCUGAGGAAGGCUCGUCCGCUCAGGGUUAGUCGGGACCUAAGCCGAGGCCGAUAGGCGUAGGCGAUGGACAACAGGUAGAGAUUCCUGUACCAGUGCUAAUUGUUUAACCGAUGGGGUGACACAGAAGGAUAGG
rnacentral:rRNA from 1 species